UACGGAGGAUCCGAGCGUUAUCCGGAUUUAUUGGGUUUAAAGGGUGCGCAGGCGGGAAAUUAAGUCGGCGGUGAAAUUUUGCAGCUCAACUGUAAAAGUGCCUUCGAAACUGGUUUCCUUGAGUGUAGAUGAAGUAGGCGGAAUUUGUGGUGUAGCGGUGAAAUGCAUAGAUAUCACGAGGAACUCCGAUUGCGCAGGCAGCUUACUAAACUACUACUGACGCUCAGGCACGAAGGCGUGGGGAUCAGACAGGAUUAGAUACCCGCGUAGU
rnacentral:rRNA from 1 species